rfam:Myotis davidii contig9097, whole genome shotgun sequence.
GCCCAUGUUGCUCAGUGGUUAAAGUGUUAGUCGGAACACCAAGGGGUUGUGGGUUCAAUUCCCGGUCAAGGGCA